AGUGAACGCUGGCGGUAGGCCUAACACAUGCAAGUCGAACGGCAGCACAGUAAGAGCUUGCUCUUACGGGUGGCGAGUGGCGGACGGGUGAGGAAUACAUCGGAAUCUACUUUUUCGUGGGGGAUAACGUAGGGAAACUUACGCUAAUACCGCAUACGGCCUACGGGUGAAAGCAGUGGAUCUUCGGACCUUGCGCGAUUGAAUGAGCCGAUGUCGGAUUAGCUAGUUGGCGGGGUAAAGGCCCACCAAGGCGACGAUCCGUAGCUGGUCUGAGAGGAUGAUCAGCCACACUGGAACUGAGACACGGUCCAGACUCCUACGGGAGGCAGCAGUGGGGAAUAUUGGACAAUGGGCGCAAGCCUGAUCCAGCCAUACCGCGUGGGUGAAGAAGGCCUUCGGGUUGUAAAGCCCUUUUGUUGGGAAAGAAAAGCAGCAGGUUAAUACCCCGCUGUUCUGACGGUACCCAAAGAAUAAGCACCGGCUAACUUCGUG
rnacentral:rRNA from 1 species